AGCAUGAGACACCACUUCUCGUACGAUCACCGAAGUUAAGCAACGUCAAGAUUGAUUAGUCCCUAGAAGGGUGACUGCUUGGGAAUAUCAGGUGCUGUAAG